ACACACACACACACACACAGCAUUGCUUUAACUAAAAUUGAUUUUCAUUUAAUCUCAUGCCAAUUAAUGCAGAUACACUUAAAUCCAAACUAAAUGGAUAUAAGCCAUUUGUAAACUGAUAUAACAUUGUCAACAAAGGAGUAUGCACCAACUUAACUAUAAACAUUUUUUCAGUUUAUUUUAGUUGAACUGGUGCAAUUUUUGUCUUUAGACAGGGCGUUAAUCUACCAUUAUGUCUAACAGCAACAUUUUGACUCAAAUCUCAUUGCCAGUAAUUUUAUAUCAUAGCUUCCCUUUUCCAAUCUCUAAAAUUGAGUUGUGAAAUGUAGAAAAUAUGUUGUCAAAAAAGUAAAUUUCAAAACCCUAAUCACUGCUGUCUUGUUCCCUGUUAAAUGACCCAGUUGUUUAUUUCUUGCUUUCCUCUUUCUGUCUGUAUUUUUCCUCUCCAAACUUUCCUUUUCUUCUAUACUGUAUUUUGUAUAUCCUCCCUUUCCCUUUGAUACUUGUCUCUCUACUUCUUUUAUUUUGCUACCAUUCCAUUGUUCCGCUCCUGCUCCUUCUUUUUCCCGUUGUUACUCCUGGGGUACUUCUGCCCCACUGCACAAUGCAUAGUUUUGCAGAAAUUAAUGUUUUUUGCACAGAAUUUCUUUGCCCCCACAGAAAUGGGCUGCAUUGCUGCUCGCUGCCACUAGGGGCCACUGGAUGUGGCAGAGCCCGGCUCGCACAUAGAAGACACUGCCAGAGGGAUUCCCGGCAGCUGCAGUUCCCAGCACACACUGGGGGAAGGAGGCGGCGGCAGCGCACAGGGCUCUGAAGAGGAAUGCUUUCUUACUGACAGAUCACUGGUUUGGUGGGAGACUAUAAUGAACUUCUGUCCCUGACCAUCAAUACCAAGUGGCUCCUAAAUGACCUCUAUCUCAGGCCUGGCGUGACAGAGAAGCCUUCCUCAUCAUCCACCUUACCACUGACCCUGGACUAGGACUUGAGAUUCUGAUAACAGAGGCUGAUAACACUAUCAAGUUGGGGUAGAAGCUUGGGGCUGAACAAAAAGCCCAGAUGGAUCUGCUGUACAAGCAUUGCCUCAGGUAUUCUUCACCCUUCCCAUGGGUGUACUUAACUGACCUAUCAUCACAUUCAGACCUACCCUGGGCAGAUGGUGAGAGAGAACCCAUGACUACUGCCAAAGAAGAUGUGCGACAUCAUCAGGACCAAACUCCAAACAAUGCUAGACCUGGGCAUAGUAUAGGAAUUCCACAGUGAAUGACGAAGCCCCAUAGUCCUUGUUUCAAAGCCCAAUGGCACAACGAGGUUUGCAUCAAGUUCCUCAAGGCAAACCCAGCCUCCAAGUUUGAUGCAUAAGUCUUGCCACAAGUGGAUGAGCUACUGGAAAGGCUCAGGGUUGGCCAGAUAUUUGUCCACAAUCAAUCAUGCAAAAAGCUACUGACAGAUUCCAUUUACCUCAGAAUCCAAGGAAAAGAUGGCAUUUGCCAUGCCCUUCAUACUGUACCACUUUCUGAACAUACCAAUAGGGUUGCAUGAAGUGUCUGCAACCUUUCAGAGGCUAAUGGAUUGGGUGCUCCUUCCACAUGCACACUAUGCCACAGGUUAUCUAUAUGAUAUGUUAAUAUAUAGCCUAGAUUGGGACAGCCAUGUAUGUCAUGUUAUCAUAGUAAUAAAAUUGAUCUCCAGAGCCAACCAGAUAGCCAAUCCAGCUAAGGUUGUGCGGGCUCUGGGCUAGGACUCAGGGGUUUGCAGU